rnacentral:rRNA from 1 species
UGGGGAAUCUUCCGCAAUGGACGAAAGUCUGACGGAGCAACGCCGCGUGAGUGAAGAAGGUUUUCGGAUCGUAAAACUCUGUCUUUUGGGGCGAACGUGAGUAUGGUGAACAAUCAUAGUCAGUGACGGUACCAAAGGAGGAAGCCACGGCUAACUACGUGCCGGCAGCCGCGGUAAUACGUAGGUGGCAAGCGUUGUCCGGAAUUAUUGGGCGUAAAGAGCGCGUAGGCGGGAUAGUCAGUCUGUUGUAAAGUGCGGGGCUCAACCCCGUGAUCGCAAUGGAAACAGCUAUUCUUGAGUGCAGGAGAGGAAAGUGGAAUUCCCAGUGUAGCGGUGAAAUGCGUAGAUAUUGGGAGGAACACCAGUGGCGAAGGCGACUUUCUGGACUGUGUCUGACGCUGAGGCGCGAAAGCCAGGGGGAGCGAACGGGAUUAGAUACCCCGGUAGUCCUGGCCGUAAACGAUGGGUACUAGGUGUGGGAGGUAUCGACCCCUUUCCGUGCCGGAGUUAACGCAAUAAGUACCCCGCCUGGGGAGUACGGUCGCAAGACUGAAACUUAAAUGAAUUGAC